AUACAGAGGGUGCGAGCGUUAAUCGGAAUUACUGGGCGUAAAGCGCGCGUAGGCGGCUUAUUAAGUCAGAUGUGAAAUCCCCGGGCUCAACCUGGGAACUGCAUCUGAUACUGGUAAGCUAGAGUUUUGGAGAGGGAAGUAGAAUUUCAGGUGUAGCGGUGAAAUGCAUAGAGAUCUGAAGGAAUACCAGUGGCGAAGGCGACUUCCUGGCCAAAAACUGACGCUGAGGUGCGAAAGCGUGGGUAGCAAACGGGAUUAGAUACCCCAGUAGUCC
rnacentral:rRNA from 1 species